GUUUUUGGCUUGCCAUACAAAUAUAUCAAUUACUGUACUAAAAAUCAUGUCCAUUGCUCUGUCUUGGAUGAAAGGGUGUGCACAUAGGUUCAUGAUCUUGAAAUGAUGCCUGGUGUUGCUGGGUAUCUUCGUGCAAGGCCGGAGGAUGCGCUUUGUCUCAAUGGUGUAUGAAGCUUGAAAAUCGUGUUGCUCGUUGUUUGCCUCAAAUCUGAUUUCACAUGUCUCGGGGGGAGGCGGGGUGGCCUAUCAUGUGUAGUUUUCACUGUGGCUCGCGAGUGGCUGGUUCCAAGAGUGCGCAUUUUGACGUGUGGCAUAUGGUGGGGGUGCUGUUGCGAAAUUCGUGAAUUUUGGGAUUUUUAUCGCAAUUUGCAGGGGGAUUGCGGGGUGGGCCCGCGGGAGCUUUUUGGAUUUGGAUUCGGCGUCAUUUGGUCUGUGGGAAUGUGUGAUUUUCUUUUGGUCUGGAGAGGUGUGCAACGAAACUAAACAUUUUGGGGCAGUAGACGACGGCCUACACGUCGCGCCUUGUUACGACGGCUUAUUGAUCUUAGAAAAUGCAUCAAAUCGGCCCAGCAUUUUAUUCGCCUUUAUACCCUUGGCACUCAGCAAUUUACAAGGCGAGGCGAUGAUAAAUCAGCCUAUAACGUUCUUUACAGAUGAUGAUGCAUUGGUUGAUAUUAUAUAAUAAGGCUAUUCGGUUACAUUUUGGGAUUCGACUGUUAUGAUAUUUGUACGUAAACUUGUGCUUGCUUGUUUAGGGACGGACAAUUUGAUUUUUCAUGGGGGUGGGGCGCAUUUCUGAGAGUGCUCGAUUUUUUUUUUGGACCUUACCGACUCCGCACGAUUA